GGGGCCGCCCCGCGAGGGACGGCGCCGCCCCGGGGGCUCGUGAUAUCUCAUCUCGCCGCCCGUCGCGAGGCGGACGGAGGGAUGGAUGAGGUUACCUGGAAAAAAUCGGGGCGAUCUAGGCGGGCGAACCUCGCCAACGAACGAUCGGACAUGGGAUAACGGAAGAGGGCGUCGGCUCGACUUCGUCGGUUCCUCGGGCCGAGGCACGUACGGUGAAUAGGGACGGUCGGGGCCGCCCGUACCGGGUCGUGAGAGGUGAAAUUCUAGGAUCGACCCGAGACGAACCGCCGCGAAAGCAUUCGGCAAGGACGCUUUCAUUAAUCAAGAACGAAAGUCGGGGGGAUCGAAGACGAUCAGAUACCGUCGUAGUCCCGACCGUAAACGAUGCCGACCGAGGGCCCGGAGGAGUUACGUACGACCCUCCGGGCCCUCCCGCGAGAAAUCAGGAGUAUUCGGGUUCCGGGGG
rnacentral:rRNA from 1 species